CAGAUGUAUCUACAGGGAGGACUUCUCCAGCUUCUCCAGCUCCUACCUUGGAUGCUAUACGCAAGCCCAGCUCCCAUCACAGUGGUACUCCAACAGGGAAAGUCCAAGAUACAACAGAUAAGAUGUCCCUGCAACCAUCCAAACAGAUUAGGCAAGAGCUGAAGGCACCCCUGCAGACAAGAGAAGAGAUGGACAUAAUGCUUCAGUGGAAGUUGGCAUUUCUUGAAGGAAGCACUCCAUCUUCGGUGCGAGCCCCAGCUGCAGGAAGGAAGGCAAAGCCAGACACGGGCACAGGCACAGCAGACUGGGAUGCUGGGAAUGAUUCUGCAUUAGCCUGGCGCUCUGAAGUUGUGAAGCCCUCCGAGCAUUCUGCAGAUGUGUCUGCAGGGACGACUUCACCAACUCCUACCCUGGAUGCUGCACAAAAGCCCAGCUCCUAUGGCAGGGGU